UUUAGCAUGGAAUAAUGGAAUAGGACGUGUGGUUCUAUUUUGUUGGUUUCUAGGACCGCCGUAAUGAUUAAUAGGGACAGUCGGGGGCAUCAGUAUUCAAUUGUCAGAGGUGAAAUUCUUGGAUUUAUUGAAGACUAACUACUGCGAAAGCAUUUGCCAAGGAUGUUUUCAUUAAUCAGGAACGAAAGUUAGGGGAUCGAAGACGAUCAGAUACCGUCGUAGUCUUAACCAUAAACUAUGCCGACUAGGGAUCGGACGAUGUUAUUAUUUGACUCGUUCGGCACCUUACAAGAAAUUAAAGUUUCUGGGUUCUGGGGGGAGUAUGGUCGCAAGGCUGAAACUUAAAGAAAUUGACGGAAGGGCACCACCAGGGGUGGAGCCUGCGGCUUAAUUUGACUCAACACGGGGAAACUCACCAGGUCCAGACACGAUGAGGAUUGACAGAUUGAGAGCUCUUUCUUGAUUUCGUGGGUGGUGGUGCAUGGCCGUUCUUAGUUGGUGGAGUGAUUUGUCUGCUUAAUUGCGAUAACGAACGAGACCUUAACCUGCUAAAUAGCCCGUAUUGCCUUGGCAGUACGCUGGCUUCUUAGAGGGACUAUCGGCUCAAGCCGAUGGAAGUUUGAGGCAAUAACAGGUCUGUGAUGCCCUUAGAUGUUUUGGGCCGCACGCGCGCUACACUGACAGAGCCAGCGAGUACUCCCUUGGCCGGAAGGUCCGGGUAAUCUUGUUAAACUCUGUCGUGCUGGGGAUAGGCAUUGCAAUA
rnacentral:rRNA from 1 species